UACGGAGGAUGCGAGCGUUAUCCGGAUUUAUUGGGUUUAAAGGGUGCGUAGGCGGGACCUUAAGUCAGCGGUAAAAUUGCGGUGCUCAACGCCGUAGAGCCGUUGAAACUGGGGUUCUUGAGUGAGCGAGAAGUAUGCGGAAUGCGUGGUGUAGCGGUGAAAUGCAUAGAUAUCACGCAGAACCCCGAUUGCGAAGGCAGCAUACCGGCGCUCAACUGACGCUGAGGUUCGAAAGCGUGGGUAGCAAACAGG
rnacentral:rRNA from 1 species